GAACAGGAUUUGAUACCCUGGUAGUCCACGCCGUAAACGAUGUCGACUUGGAGGUUGUGCCCUUGAGGCGUGGCUUCCGGAGCUAACGCGUUAAGUCGACCGCCUGGGGAGUACGGCCGCAAGGUUAAAACUCAAAUGAAUUGACGGGGGCCCGCACAAGCGGUGGAGCAUGUGGUUUAAUUCGAUGCAACGCGAAGAACCUUACCUACUCUUGACAUCCAGAGAACUUAGCAGAGAUGCUUUGGUGCCUUCGGGAACUCUGAGACAGGUGCUGCAUGGCUGUCGUCAGCUCGUGUUGUGAAAUGUUGGGUUAAGUCCCGCAACGAGCGCAACCCUUAUCCUUUGUUGCCAGCGGUUAGGCCGGGAACUCAAAGGAGACUGCCAGUGAUAAACUGGAGGAAGGUGGGGAUGACGUCAAGUCAUCAUGGCCCUUACGAGUAGGGCUACACACGUGCUACAAUGGCGCAUACAAAGAGAAGCGACCUCGCGAGAGCAAGCGGACCUCAUAAAGUGCGUCGUAGUCCGGAUUGGAGUCUGCAACUCGACUCCAUGAAGUCGGAAUCGCUAGUAAUCGUAGAUCAGAAUGCUACGGUGAAUACGUUCCCGGGCCUUGUACACACCGCCCGUCACACCAUGGGAGUGGGUUGCAAAAGAAGUAGGUAGCUUAACCUUCGGGAGGGCGCUACCACUUUGAAUCUGGC
rnacentral:rRNA from 1 species